rnacentral:rRNA from 1 species
CCUACGGGAGGCAGCAGUGAGGAAUAUUGGUCAAUGGACGAGAGUCUGAACCAGCCAAGUCGCGUGAAGGAUGACUGCCCUAUGGGUUGUAAACUUCUUUUAUAUGGGAAUAAAACGUGCCACGUGUGGACUUUUGUAUGUACCAUAUGAAUAAGGAUCGGCUAACUCCGUGCCAGCAGCCGCGGUAAUAAGGAGGAUCCAAGCGUUAUCCGGAUUUAUUGGGUUUAAAGGGAGAGUAGGUGGUAUGUUAAGUCAGUUGUGAAAGUUUGGGGCUCAACCCUAAAAUUGCAGUUGAAACUGGCAUUCUUGAGUACAGGAGAGGUGGGCGGAAUGCGGGGUGUAGCGGUGAAAUGCUUAGAUAUCACGAAGAACUCCGAUUGCGAAGGCAGAUUACUGGACUGCAACUGACACUGAGGCUCGAAAGUGUGGGUAUCAAACAGGAUUAGAUACCCCUGUAGUC